UGCCGCUUGCGAGGGCGUAUGGUGGAUGCCUUGGCAGACAGUACCGAUGAAGGACGUUUGAGGAUGCGAUAAUCCUAGGGGAGCCUCCAACAUGGCUUUGAUCCUAGGGUCUCCGAAUGGGGGAACCCGCCGGCCGUCAUGGGCCGGCACCGCCUAUGGGCGGGGGGUACGCAGGGAAGUGAAACAUCUCAGUACCUGCAGGAAGGGAUACUCCGUGAGUAGUGGCGAGCGAAAGCGGAUCAGACCAAACCGGUUGCGCGUGAUACCCGUCGGGGGUUGCGUUGCCGGUGUUGUGGGAUCACGUGUCCCGGUUCCGACGGGCCGGGCGGGAGUCAUAAAACGGCUUGCCAGGGGAACAGGCUUGAAGGCCUGGCCGUAGAGGGUGCCAGCCCCGUACCUGGACGUGAGCCGUCUUCCGAUCGUGUUGUCCCAAGUAGCGCGGGCCUCGUGGAAUCCCGCGUGAAUCAGCCCAGACCGUUGGGUAAGUCUAAGCAUACCUGUCUGACCGAUAGCGUACCAGUACCGUGAGGGAAAGGUGAAAAGCACCCCGGGAGGGGAGUGAAACAGUUCCUGAAACCGUGCGCCCACAAACCGUCGGAGCCUCCUUGUGGGGUGACGGCGUGCCUAUCGAAAAAUGAGUCUGCGAGUCAGUGGCGGGUGGCGAGCAUAAGCCGUGUGGCGUAUGCGUAGCGAAAGCGAGUCUUAAAAGGCGUUUUUUAGUCGCUUGUCCUGGACCCGAAGCGGGAUGAUCUAGCCCUGGGCAGGUUGAAGCGCGGGUAAGACCGCGUGGAGGACCGAACCCACCUGGGUUGAAAACCGGGGGGAUGACCUGGGGCUAGGGGUGAAAGGCCAAUCAAAUUCCGUGAUAGCUGGUUCUCUCCGAAAUGCAUUUAGGUGCAGCGUCGGUCGAUUGCGUCGCGGGGGUAGAGCUACCGGAUGCUUGCGGGCCCUUGUUGGGUACCAACAGCAGCCGAACUCCGAAUACCGUUGACGUGUAUUCCGGCAGUGAGUCGGCGGGGGAUAAGCUCCGUCGUCGAGAGGGAGACAGCCCAGACCGUCGUCUAAGGUCCCGAAGCGUGUGCUAAGUGGGAAAGGAUGUGGAGUCGCAUAGACAGCCAGGAGGUUGGCUCAGAAGCAGCCAUCCUUGAAAGAGUGCGUAACAGCUCACUGGUCUAGUGGUUCCGCGCCGACAAUGUAGCGGGGCUCAAGCACACCACCGAAGACGCGGCAGCAAUCUUCAUGGUUGCUGGGUAGGAGAGCGUCCUGCGAGGGGCGAAGCGGCCGGGUAACCGUGCCGUGGACUUCGUGGGAGUGAGAAUGCAGACAUGAGUAGCGAGAGACGGGUGAGGAUCCCGUCCGCUGGAUGACCAAGGGUUCCGGGGCCACGUUCGUCGUCCCCGGGUGAGUCGGGUCCUAAGGCGAGGCCGACAGGCGUAGUCGAAUGGAUGAACGGGUGGAUAUUCCCGUACCGACCAUGGACCGGCAAAACCGAGACGGUGAGUACUAACCUCCGCCUCGUGGUGGUUCCUUCCUUCGGGUUGGUAUCGCCGCGUGGCGUUGGGACCGUAGCCGCAGUAGGUCAGCGCAGGGGUGACACGGAAUGGGAGCCGGCCGCGGAGGUGGUUUUCCGUGGUCAAGCACGCAGCCAGUCAUGUAGGCAAAUCCGCAUGGCGCGCAUGGCGAGGUGUGAUGAUGGGAGCCUUUCGGGCUCGAUAUCCGGUUGUCCAGGCCGUCGAGAAAAGCCUCGGCGUGAGGGCCAUGGCCGCCCGUACCCCAAACCGACACUGGUGGUCAGGUAGAGAAUACCAAGGCGAUCGAGCGAAUCCUGGUCAAGGAACUCGGCAAAUCACUCCCGUGCCUUCGGUAUAAGGGAGACCCACUGGGGUGAACGGCCUCGCGCCGGGAGCUUUGGUGGGUGGCACAGACCAGGGGGUAGCGACUGUUUACCAAAAACACAGGUGCAUGCGAAGGCGAAAGCCGCUGUAUAUGCACUGACGCCUGCCCGGUGCCGGAAGGUUAAGAGGAUCCGUCAAUCCUUCGGGACGAAGCGGUGAAUUCAAGCCCCGGUAAACGGCGGUGGUAACUAUAACCAUCCUAAGGUAGCGAAAUUCCUUGUCGGGUAAGUUCCGACCUGCACGAAUGGCGUA
rnacentral:rRNA from 1 species